CCUUCCAAGUCAGUCCUGCAUACAGGGUGCCUACUCUUCUUUUCCUGAACGACUUGCCAUCUCCUUCUUUCUCCACUCAGUUUGGCAAGGAAGGCAAGGCUCCCUUUAGUUUCAGUAUCCAAGGGCUGUGGGUAAAGGUUUCUUCUCUGUAGGAGGCUUUUCUUUCCCCAGCCCAAUGGAUUCUCCAGAUCUGGCUAGUCUCUGCUAGUUAGGCUAAGAAUGACACCAGGUUCCCCUUGGGCCUUUUCCAACCUACUUGCUAAGCUUGGGUAAUUUCCUGGCAAAGAGACCCAGCCUGACGACCCCUUCUUGAAGCCCAAGGGUCUCCUCUUGAGAGAAACAAGAGCAGAUGGAGAACCAUCCAGUCCCCUGGGACAGCAGGACAAUCUAGACAAGCUCUUACAGAACGCCAGCAACCAGCUGCAGAGGAAACAGAAUUGGAGAAGUAGUAGGAGAGCCAAGACAGAGCAAAGCUGAUGGUUUCACAAGCCAGAAUGCAGAACUGAGCAAG
rnacentral:lncRNA from 1 species